rnacentral:misc_RNA from 1 species
CUUCGUCCAGUGCCAAACGUGUGUGUGUGUUGGGGAAGAAUAUCAGCAAUACAAGACUAUGAAAAGAAAACCAGACACAGCUAGAUUAUAAAAAAAAAAAAAUAAAUAAAUAAAUAAAAAAAUAAUAAUAAAUAAAUAAAUAAAAACAAAGAUUUAUCGUAACUUGUUCCGGGGGAGUGGGAGGUGAACUUGUCAGGUUAGUGGUCGUCAUGGCAGCAGGCAGUGGGAAUGGUGGUGGUGUGCACGCCCAGAAGGUGUGUGGGUUCUUCCUGCAGCAUAAGGGCAGACCGUGCAGGAUGCUGGUGAAGGCAGGGCGGCGGUACUGCGGCCAGCACCUGGUGGAGGAGAACUCGGAGGAGACAACUGGCAAGCACAAGAGGAUUCCUUGCCCUCUGGAUCCAAAGCACUCCUGCUUUGAGCACCGCCUGGACCACCACCUCACUAUCUGCAAUGCUCGGGUUGUGACAGACCUUCCCCACCUCAGGCUCAACUGUAAUCUGCGGGUGUGUGGGGAGUACAUGCCCGCUAAAGUGUCCCUCUCCUCCCUGCCUGAUGAAGUGCUGCUAGCCUUCAUCACCAAGUUGGAAAGGAUACAUGCAGACGCCAUCGAUGCUGUCAGAGAGUCAAUUAUGUGUCUGGAUGCGGUGGAGGCAGUGAUAGCAGAAUGCUGCGGCAGUCCCAGCAUGGUGCGCCAUCUCAGGCAGACCUCCUCCCUCCUGGCACACUUAAAGGCAGCAAACCUCCUUGACACUGCCACCAACUCAACUUGUUAUGUGGAGUUUGGAGCAGGCCGAGGCCAACUCACAAAAUCAUUGACCGAGGCAGUGACAGACAUCAGCAAGGCUCUGUUUGUGCUGAUAGAUCGAGGUGCUCAGAGGUACAAGUAUGACACCAAGCUGAGAUACAACCAAAGUAUCAAUGUAAAACGAUUUCGCGUGGACAUUCAACAUCUCAGCCUGGAAGGAGUGGAGGGCAGUGAAGACUACCAGCACAUAGUGGGACUUGGCAAGCAUCUCUGUGGCAGUGCUUCAGAUCUAGCCCUGCGCUGCUUGUGCCAGCACCCGGGUAUGCAGGUUGUGGGGGUGGUGCUGGCCCUGUGCUGCCACCACCGCUGUGUCUGGGACUCCUACUGUGGUCUGGAGGUGCUGCAGGGACUGGGUGUGCAGCCCUCAGAAUUUUACAUUCUGACAGCACUGACGGGAUGGGCAACUUGUAACUCAAAAGAUGUUCCAAGCAAGGAAGAGAUGACUUCUGAACCUCGAAACACGGACAGUUUUGGAAUGAAUGCUAGUCAAGAGAAGCAUCCUGAGCUUUUAUCACCAAAAGAGACUAUGACUAGGAAAAAUCUUGUGGACAAUCGUUACACAAGAUUGAACUUAGCAGCACAGCACCGGGAGGAGAUAGGCAGGAAGGCCAAACAGGUGCUGGACUAUGGUCGGAUGCAAUACAUGCGCGAGCAAGGCUUUGAGUGCAGCCUGGUGCAGUAUGUGGCCAAGGACACCACCCCGGAGAAUGUUGCUUUGAUUGCAAGUCGUGUGCCAAGGCCAUGCAGGAGCAGAAAACAGGAAUAAUAUCCAAGAAGGCACUAGAACAGAAGUAGAUCUCAAAAAGAAAAGGAUGGAAGAAAGAGUGCCCAGUCCAAGGUGAUGUUGAACAAGUAUGGGGACAGUGGAUCUCCCUGCAACACUCCCCUCCUGAUGGGACUAGUGUCCCAUCAGGAUUAUGGACCAACUCAGUGAGUGCUAAUGGAAAAUCCUAUCUCCUGGUGGCAGCAACCAGGUAGGGGGGGGGUACCUCACUAAGUCAAAGGCCUUUGUAAAGUCUAUAAGUGCAACAUAAAGGUUGUCAAAUUUG